rnacentral:rRNA from 1 species
GAGUUUGUAUCAUGGCUCAGGAUGAACGCUAGCUACAGGCUUAACACAUGCAAGUCGAGGGGAAACGGACAUCGAAAGCUUGCUUUUGAUGGGCGUCGACCGGCGCACGGGUGAGUAACGCGUAUCCAACCUGCCCACCACUUGGGGAUAACCUUGCGAAAGUAAGACUAAUACCCAAUGACGUCUCUAGAAGACAUCUGAAGGAGAUUUAAAGAUUUAUCGGUGAUGGAUGGGGAUGCGUCUGAUUAGCUUGUUGGCGGGGUAACGGCCACCAAGGCGACGAUCAGUAGGGGUUCUGAGAGGAAGGUCCCCCACAUUGGAACUGAGACACGGUCCAAACUCCUACGGAGGCA